rnacentral:rRNA from 1 species
AGUGAACGCUGGCGGUAGGCCUAACACAUGCAAGUCGAACGGCAGCACAGUAAGAGCUUGCUCUUACGGGUGGCGAGUGGCGGACGGGUGAGUAAUACAUCGGAAUCUACUUUUUCGUGGGGGGUAACGUAGGGAAACUUACGCUAAUACCGCAUACGACCUACGUGUGAAAGCAGGGGAUCUUCGGACCUUGCUCGAUUUAAUGAGCCGAUGUCGGAUUAGCUAGUUGGCGGGGUAAAGGCCCACCAAGGCGACGAUCCGUAGCUGGUCUGAGAGGAUGAUCAGCCACACGGGAACUGAGACACGGUCCAGACUCCUACGGGAGGCAGCAGUGGGGAAUAUUGGAAAAGGGGCGCAAGCCUGAUCCAGCCAGACCGCGUGGGUGAAGAAGGCCUUCGGGUUGUAAAGCCCUUUUGUUGGGAAAGAAAAGCAGCAGGUUAAUACCCCGCUGUUCUGACGGUACCCAAAGAAUAAGCACCGGCUAACUUCGUG